CAUAGUCUCUACUGUUAACUCACCGUUUUACAAGCCCAUGGUCUUUAGCUCUAAACGCACCGAUUUUGAUCUUCUUUAUCGCUUGAAAGAAGACUGCAAUCGUACAGUAUAAGCUGCAGUAGACUGCUGUCGUACAAAGGCAGAGAAGGAGGAGCGCACCACCUGUAAGAAGACAGGGAGCGGGGGAAGAGAGAGGCUUUUGAUUCGGUUUGGUGAAAGAGAAGAAGACAGGAGCAAAAUCAAGUGCUACGCGAACCGAGCGGCUGUGACAACACCUGUGACGAGGGAAGAAGGCGUCGCGGGUGUGAGGGAAUCAAAAGGAGGUAUAAUGCUGUGAUAGCUAGAGAAGAAGAGAGGCAGAGACGCGGCUAUAAGGAAUUCUUCUUCGGCUUUGUGAAGAAAAACUGAGAGAAGAGGAGAGAGAAGGAGAGGACAGAGGUGAUUUGGGAGAGGAGAGAGAGCUUUAGGGCUUCGAUUUUGGGAAGAGAAAGAAUGAACAGGAAAUAUUUAAAAAGGAGAUAUAUAUGUAAAGAGGAGGGUUUUUGAGGCUGAGAGAUAGAAAGAGUGGGGCGGCUAUAAAAAGAAGGGGAUAGAUUCUAGGGAGGUUCUUAGGGUUUUUGUUUUUGUUUUUUUUUUCAAGAGAAGGAGAAAGGGUCUCUCGACCUCUGAGCUUGUGUAGAAAGGAUGAUGAAGCUCAAAAAGAAACGUCUGUCUGUACUGUGAUUCUCACCUUGGAGUCUCAACUUCAAGUACUUUUGUUUGACAGAAUCCUCCUGAAGCAGUUGGACUUGGUUUCGGGGAAAGAUGAUUGACAAUGCUAGGAUGGAUUCAGGGGGAGAAUUUCACUCAAGAAUAUCAGUUGUGGGAUAUAAGCCCUUUGCUACCUCAAAUUCCGUUGACAUAUUCUCAGAAUAUUCAUAUCUAGGAAAUCACAGAAAAACCAGAACCCACCACAGAUACUAAUGAUAUAGAUACUGAUGGCACAUUAUCUGCAAAAAGUAAGCUACGAGUAUACACAAGGAGAAAUAAGACUCAAGAUAGUAGAAUUCUUGAAUCAAGCACGUAAAGUCAUGAGUCAACUCUUGGACCGAACACUCAUAAUA